UGAGAAUAAACGUUAAUCCUGAGACUACCA
rnacentral:piRNA from 1 species